CAACCUCAUGCCAAGGAUUAACAAAACCAAGAAGUUGUCCAUCCUGAUUUCUGUGGUGGUGAUACUCUUGGCCAUUAUCUUCAUUGGAGCCACUCUAAUUUAAGUCCGUAUCGCUCAGGAAUACACUGAAAGGGCAGGUGUUCCAGUUCCAUUCUCCUGAAUAUAGAAUGGGAUAUUUAUCCCCUGAGCAUUGAAAUUUCCUGAACUUCAGCCACAAGCUUUUGAGUGAAAAAUCUGUCAUCAAAGGCACCAUCAAGGCUGGUAAACCACAUAAUUGGCUGGACUUUCCAAAAUUCCUGCCCUUGGAAAUCUUAGCUGCAAAGCUGGUGUUUCAGGAAGAAGUGUUUUGUUGUGAAGAUGGAGAAGGUUGCAGUGCCCAGCCUGACUGAAGUUGCCCAGAGAAUUGAGAACUUCAACACACAGGAGGACAACAGCUUGUCCUACAGCUUCCUUGAGGGGCCGAUGACAGAUUGCACAGUUCUAGGAAAGCCCCUGAACAGUCUGUGUAGCGAUAUCCCAUCUACCUGACUGAGGUUCCUGAAUUGAAGCAACCAUCAAUCUGCUGGGUCCCACCAAUUGUGUCGUCUUCUUUCUGUGUCUAGUUGUCGCUGGGUGUGAUUUUAAACCAUUCUCCAUUCUGCGCCCAGCCAGUUGGAACUUACAGGAAGUCACAAAUAUCAGCAUCUUUCAUCUUCCCACAUCUUGUUUUCUCUCCUCUCGUUCAU